AGAGUUUGAUCCUGGCUCAGGAUGAACGCUAGCUACAGGCUUAACACAUGCAAGUCGAGGGGAAACGACACCGAAAGCUUGCUUUUGAUGGGCGUCGACCGGCGCACGGGCGAGUAACGCGUAUCCAACCUGCCCAUCACUUGGGGAUAACCUUGCGAAAGUAAGACUAAUACCCAAUGACGUCUCUAGAAGACAUCUGAAAGAGAUUAAAGAUUUAUCGGUGAUGGAUGGGGAUGCGUCUGAUUAGCUUGUUGGCGGGGUAACGGCCACCAAGGCGACGAUCAGUAGGGGUUCUGAGAGGAAGGUCCCCCACAUUGGAACUGAGACACGGUCCAAACUCCUACGGCAGGCA
rnacentral:rRNA from 1 species